rnacentral:rRNA from 1 species
AGUGAACGCUGGCGGUAGGCCUAACACAUGCAAGUCGAACGGCAGCACAGUAAGAGCUUGCGCUUACGGGGGGCGAGUGGCGGACGGGUGAGGAAUAUAUCGGAAUCUAGUUUUUCGUGGGGGAUAACGUAGGGAAACUUACGCUAAUACAGCAUACGACCUACGGGUGAAAGCAGGGGAUAUUCGGACCUUGUGCGAUUGAAUGAGCCGAUGUCGGAUUAGCUAGUUGGCGGGGUAAAGGCCAAGGAAGGCGACGAUAGGUAGCUGGUAGGAGAGGAUGGGCAGCCACACUGGGACGGAGACAGGGUCCAUACUCCCACAGGAGCCGGCCGGGGGGAAUAUUGGAGAAUGAGCGGAAACCUGAUCCAGCCAUACCGCGUGGUUGAAGAAGGCCUUCGCGUUCGAAAGGCCGUUUGUUGGGUAAGAAAAGCAGCAGGUUAAUAACCCGCUGUUCUGGCGGUACCCAAAGAAUGAGAACCGGGUAACUUCGUU